GACGAACGCUGGCGGCGUGCUUAACACAUGCAAGUCGAACGGAAAGGUCCUGCUUUUGUGGGGUGCUCGAGUGGCGAGCGGGUGAGUAACACGUGAGUAACCUGCCCUUGACUUUGGGAUAACUUCAGGAAACUGGGGCUAAUACCGGAUAGGAGCUCCUGCUGCAUGGUGGGGGUUGGAAAGUUUCGGCGGUUGGGGAUGGACUCGCGGCUUAUCAGCUUGUUGGUGGGGUAGUGGCUUACCAAGGCUUUGACGGGUAGCCGGCCUGAGAGGGUGACCGGCCACAUUGGGACUGAGAUACGGCCCAGACUCCUACGGGAGGCAGCAGUGGGGAAUAUUGCACAAUGGGCGGAAGCCUGAUGCAGCAACGCCGCGUGCGGGGUGACGGCCUUCGGGUUGUAAACCGCUUUCGCCUGUGACGAAGCGUGAGUGACGGUAAUGGGUAAAGAAGCACCGGCUAACUACGUG
rnacentral:rRNA from 1 species